UUGCUCUUCUUGGAUGAGUUGCGAACGGGUGAGUAACGCGUAGGUAACCUGCCUUGUAGCGGGGGAUAACUAUUGGAAACGAUAGCUAAUACCGCAUAACAAUGGAUGACACAUGUCAUUUAUUUGAAAGGGGCAAUUGCUCCACUACAAGAUGGACCUGCGUUGUAUUAGCUAGUAGGUGAGGUAAUGGCUCACCUAGGCGACGAUACAUAGCCGACCUGAGAGGGUGAUCGGCCACACUGGGACUGAGACACGGCCCAGACUCCUACGGGAGGCAGCAGUAGGGAAUCUUCGGCAAUGGGGGCAACCCUGACCGAGCAACGCCGCGUGAGUGAAGAAGGUUUUCGGAUCGUAAAGCUCUGUUGUAAGUCAAGAACGGGUGUGAGAGUGGAAAGUUCACACUGUGACGGUAGCUUACCAGAAAGGGACGGCUAACUACGUGCCAGCAGCCGCGGUAAUACGUAGGUCCCGAGCGUUGUCCGGAUUUAUUGGGCGUAAAGCGAGCGCAGGCGGUUUGAUAAGUCUGAAGUUAAAGGCUGUGGCUCAACCAUAGUUCGCUUUGGAAACUGUCAAACUUGAGUGCAGAAGGGGAGAGUGGAAUUCCAUGUGUAGCGGUGAAAUGCGUAGAUAUAUGGAGGAACACCGGUGGCGAAAGCGGCUCUCUGGUCUGUAACUGACGCUGAGGCUCGAAAGCGUGGGGAGCGAACAGGAUUAGAUACCCUGGUAGUCCACGCCGUAAACGAUGAGUGCUAGGUGUUGGAUCCUUUCCGGGAUUCAGUGCCGCAGCUAACGCAUUAAGCACUCCGCCUGGGGAGUACGACCGCAAGGUUGAAACUCAAAGGAAUUGACGGGGGCCCGCACAAGCGGU
rnacentral:rRNA from 1 species